AAUUCUCAACCUCACCCGUUUUGUAAUGAGACGGGUGACGGCUUGGAUGUGGGGGUCUUUGCAGGCUGCCUCAGUGCUGGUCUGCUCCCCUGAAAUGCAUUAGCGAGCUCAAAUCGAGCUUCCGUCUAUUGGUGUGAUAAUUAUCUAUGCCGUGGACUUGAACUCGUGCUUGCUUCUAACCGUCCGCAAGGACAACACUUUGACCA
rnacentral:misc_RNA from 1 species